AUGGGAAUUUCUUCACAAACUUCUUUUGAUGCAAUCACUUUGAAAGAAGCUCUUCAAGGAAGUAACAAUUCAUCAUACUUGUGGAGCAAGGUAUUGGAUGGACAAGCCAAGAAAAAGGUGAAGAGGUCAAGAAGAAUCUCCAUGAAGAGAAGGGUUGGUUGUAGAAGAGGCUCCUAUGGAAUUCAGAGACGUGUGAGAACAUUGAAGAGACUUAUACCAAAUAGUGAUGAGUCUAUUGGGUUGGAAGGACUUUUUAGAGAGACAGCUAAUUAUAUAUUGUCUUUAGAAAAUAGAGUGAGAGUUAUGAAGGUUAUGGUUGAGGUAUUGAAUGGAUCUGAUGAGUGA